rnacentral:misc_RNA from 1 species
UUUUUUUUUUAUUUCUUAUAUUUAGUUAGUGUACGGAACAUGUGGGUAAAAGGUAUUGUGUGUGGCCGCUGUUAGGUGGUGGUCUGCUGUCAUGGUGUCGAGACUGUUUGGCGGCCACGGCAAGUUUAGGUGGGUGCGGCUUGGGAGAGAACACCUGUGUUAGGAACAAUAUGCACACAAGAGACAAGGGGUGAAGUUCACAUGGGUUAGGAGUGGUUGGCAGAGUACCAGGAUCGUAAACGAACAUGAUUUUUUUGUGAUAGUUAUGCCAAGUGGUUAGCUUAGUGAAGGCGUUAGUGCCCACUCAUACGUGGUAGGAUUACUCAUAUAAAUGUUACAUUGUGUGGUGACGGGGUAUAAAGUCAGGACCGGACGUGGUGCUCGCCCCAGCUACAGUGUCCCAUCUCCCAUGAGCAGCCCAUGAGUGAGGCGGCUGGGAAGGAGUACAAUAACAGUGAGCCAUCAACUCAGUCACCUGCAGACGCCAUGGAGCCUGGCUGGCCACUCUCCCCACGAGCAGUCUUCGCCACCCUUAUUGUCUUUUUGGCCCUGGUCUUCCAUCCAAAUCUGGUGAACUUACUAGUGAGCAGCGAAGAUGCCUCCUCCACACUCCAACAUGUAAAGAACUUUUACCUGUGGACUAGGCAUCAUCGAGAGGAGCUACAGGAGCUAAAAGUAGAGUCACAAGCAUCCCUGACUGCCACCCAUUUCCUCCCACGCCGCACCUAUGUUAUCAUCCAUGGGUUCCUUGGAUCUGGCACCGAUGCCUGGAUAAUUGCAAUGAAGGAUGCUCUUCUGGGACGAGAGGACUGCAAUGUUAUCGGCGUCAAUUGGUCAGCAGGUGCAAUGACAAUCGGAUACUAUGCUAUACAGUCAAAGGUGCCAGGUGUCGGUGAAGACAUAAGCAAGCUCCUUUUAUUCCUCGAGCGAGCAGCAGGGUUAUCACCUGACCUGGUGCACAUCAUAGGUCACUCCCUUGGAGCACAUGCAGCAGGUUUUACUGGAAAGCAUCUCAAUGGCACUCUGUCAAGAAUUACAGGUUUGGAUCCAGCUGGCCUCUCGUACCAUGCGGCUGAGCCCGCUGAUCGUUUGGACAAAAGAGAUGCUGUCUUUGUGGACAUCAUCCAUACUCAUGGUUGCACUACUCUCCUGAAUCAAUGGGUGGACUGCUUUGGGAUAAAUGAAAACCUUGGAGAUGCAGACUUCUGGCCCAAUGGUGGGGAGCGUCAACCUGCUUGUAUGGAAGGCGGAGAUGGUCCUUCUGCUGUCAAGGAUGGGAGCAGCUGUGACCAUGGGAUGGCAUACGUCUUCUAUACCGAGAGUAUUUCAUACCCUACAUCCACAACUCAUUUUUUGGCACGGCCGUGUAGUUCCUGGAAAUGGUACAACAUUUGUGAGUGCAGCCACCCACCACAGUAUAUGGGUUACAAUGUCAAUCCCAAUGUCCCGGGAGAUUUCUACCUCAACACCAGCAUCACAGCUCCCUAUGCUCUCUUGGACCAAAAGUGUUCUGCUGGUUCCUUCUCUACGCUCCAGAUUAUUGGUUUGAUACUAGUGUCAAUAUUAUUGGCUCUUAUGAUACUUCUGGUAGUGUUGGCCAUAGUACAACAGUACUUUGGUGUACAAGUCCUGACAACAGUGAGAACAGCAUUUGGAAUGGAAGCAGUUACCUGGCAAAGAUUUGCAGAAUCGAAAUCGACACAGCUUCUGACUGAAGAACACAAACAAGUUAUUACUUGAACUUUCUUACUACACUACAUUGUAUUUGAACCGAGUGUGAGCUGUUUCAAGACCAGACUUGAUCAGCACUGGAGCAGGUUCAAAUACAUUCAGGAGCCGGUGCAUGCCCAGUACUUACCAACAGUGCCACUGUAACAGAAACGUGACUGACCGCCCAAGCGGCUAACGUGCCGAUCAGUGGCAAAGAGGAUAAAAAUUCCGUGUCACUUGACGGAGUCAUCUCCCGUAGCGGCCGAUUGAUUCACACCCUCGCCCGUUAUGUCUCACACCUGGGAUACAACCCUGCCGACAACAAGUCUCCUGCAGCGCUCGGAGGGGAGGGGGAGUAUUGUAGUGGAUACUCUCCCCUACAACUGCUGGUUGAUCACUUGCCGUCUGCUUACCAGCCAACCAGCGACGAGUUCCGAAUGUGACGGGCCUGACUCUCGGACCGCGCGGUGAUUGGCCCGUUACCACCUUCACCUUAAUCAAUGAGCAGCGCCGCUCACUUCACACCUCUCCAGCCGAUCCCGCAGAAGCAUACAAAUACUCCCCAGCCUUGCCUUGAAGAUCGAGCUACAACCUAAUCACGCAAGAUGUAAGUUCAAAUAUAAUUACAGUGAUCCCACGGUUAACAAGAUUUCAGUUAACGAAUUACCUCCCAUAAGAUUUUUAACUUCGGUUAACGAGCAAUCCCUCAAUUAAUGAGUUUUUAACGAGCGCCCCUCCA